UAUGGCCAUAUCAUGUUGAAACAUUGGUUCUUGUACGAUCACCCAAGUUAAGCAGUGUCUAGCCUCAUCAGUACUUAGAUGGGUAACCGCUUGGGAAAACCAGGUGA